rnacentral:piRNA from 1 species
UGAGCUUCUGUUUGCUGG